rnacentral:lncRNA from 1 species
AUAUGCGAAGUAGGGAUGGCAUUCGAUGAAGGCACGCGCGAGCGGUUGUGUACCGCCACGAGUCAAUUCAAAGUGGCGAUACGGCAAUACCUAGUGCGAGGUUGUUCACAUAAGGGAACAAACAAGCGCCGAAGGUGGCUGCUGCUCGCAUAACUGUUGGUGGGAGUCACGUGGUUGGACGGGAUGCGCAGCCAGUCAUCGAAAGCCCGCGCAUGUAGUGACCACUAGCGUUCUGCUGUAUCGUUCUCCGUACAUCGGAGCUACAGUUCUGCACUACAAGGAAUCACGAAACAGCGUCUUAACUGGCGCACACAAAUAAGCACCGCAUUACCACAGCACGGUGAUCAGCGUUGUGAGCGCGUCGGGAAGCUGUAGUCCCGCGGCCGCGUAGUGCAAGCAUCCCUUCAAGCCACAUUGUUGUCUUCAGUGUGAGGCCGGCAUGUUUUCGAACAGACGCAAUCGCAUCCUUGUCAAUGAUGAGAGAUAUUGCUUAUUCUCAUAUUUGCACUGAAUAGCAGACAUUUCGCCAGUUUACGCCCAUCGCCCCACUAGUAUCACGUGAUGCAUGGAGGUUGAGGUAGAGGGACGGCGGACCUUAAACUGUGAUGAGAUGAGUGUUCGCUUUCUCAUAUGGAGGUUUCUCGUAUGGAGGUAAUUUGCACAUCGCGCCACGACGAAGCUUUUUUCUUUUCGGUGUUGGUUUCCUGAAAAGUGCCUCGAUAUCUCGGCGUGCACACCAAUUUCAAAAGAUACUUACCGUCACUCGCAAUGUUUGCUGCGGUUCUACCUGCUGAUGAAUUAAGCGCUACAAGGCCAGGGCGUCGUUUGCUAGUCUACCGAGAGAAGGGUCUCGCGAUCCUCUGCUCUGAUGCUACUUAUGCCGCUGAUGGCGAUGCUGAACGUGCUGUGAGUGAAUAUUGCUCACUCUACGUUGCGGCUAACAAAAGUAGGCGUGAUCGUGUUUUCAUGUAGGCUGAAGCGCGGGGUAUGCCUCUCACGCCUGUUCCGCGUGGUUGGCCCCCGUGGAGUCGGGUAGGCAGUGAAGCCCCAUGGCACUGCCCAGUCAGGACGACUCGUGAGAAGAGUUGUUGGCGAUGCCAGACAUACGUAACCCAUCGUGGAGACUCUUGGCAUUCGCGGAGAGCCGCCGGGCACAAACAGGAGAUCGGACACGUUGGUGACAAGUGUGAUGGCGAUAGGAUGGAGAGAAUGAUUUGGAGAAGCAAGUACUCGAGAGGUGGAAGCGACGGCAGCCGACGACAGAAUGAGGGUCGAGAAGUUGCCGCGGCAACCAAGCCGUUGGAUUUUUGUGAUUGUGGAGCGUGGGUUUUAUCGUCUCAUGGAGGCCAUUCAAAGCCUCAGUGUUGCCGACGAACAAGCACAUCGUUGAUGUAGAACGCAUCCGGUAUUCGACCUAGAGAAUGAGGAGUUUAAUGCUUCGCGCAUAUGGUGGGCCCGCAGCCUGCAGGGGGCAGCAGGUGAAGUUGCCGCUAGAAAGGUCCAGGAGGGGAACUGGUGGGGGAAGGUCAUGUCGCCGUGAUUGCUAGUGUUGCUCUGUCCAGCAGGCUCGUGACUUACGACAACAAACUCGGCGUGUAGUGGGGCUUGCCGGAUGUGCGUAUCAAAGGGCGUAUAGCGGGGCGUUGCUUGCUGCUGUCGAUCGUUAAUCUGGGUGUCUUGUCUUGCACUUCCGUUCCAGCAAGACAAGGUAGGGACCCCUUAAAGUAGAGUUAAGCGACGGUGGUUUUGUAACAAGUCGUAUCAGUGGAUGAAUUGCGAAAGGAAGAGAGAGCGUUCGAGGUAACGAGUGUAGGAAGGAUGCAGGAAGCGGGGUCAGCGUGCCGCUCAGCGUGUCUAUUACGGUGAGAGUAGAAUUGUUGGAUGGGCGGUGGAUCAGAUCAGCUGAAGGCCAAGCAGACAGAAGCAAGGAUGAUACCACGACAACUGUGUCACUAUAGCAAUGACGCAAUUAUGCAGUACCAGCGCGUAUGUAGAACCCGGCUACCGGUGCUCCCCAGCGAUCCCCGCCGUUGAUCCUAGUUCUGUUUGUGUCGAUGCGCUUCCACACGGUAGAGAUUUGCGUACCGUGGCCAAUGGAGGUAGCACUGCAGGAGUAGUGGCCGUGUACUUGUGACGACUGUUGCAAGGGAAGCGCGUGAGAUGCUGUCUGCAUGUCUGAGUCACUGAGCUCUUCAUGGACUCAGACGUGCUGCACUGCCUGUUCAUGACGUGUCAUGGAGCGGGUCUUUGCGUCGUGGCCUGCCUACAUGAUUGUGGCGGUCCCCCGGGUUCGCGAAAAGGGC